rnacentral:rRNA from 1 species
UACGUAGGGGGCAAGCGUUGGUCCGGAUUUAUUGGGCGUAAAGAGCGUGUAGGCGGCCUGAAAGGUCAGCUGUGAAAACUCGAGGCUCAACCUCGAGACGUCGGUUGAAACCAUCUGGCUAGAGUCCGGAAGAGGAGUGUGGAAUUCCCGGUGUAGCGGUGAAAUGCGCAGAUAUCGGGAAGAACACCCGUGGCGAAGGCGGCACUCUGGGACGGUACUGGACGCGUGAGACGCGAAAAGCGUGGGGAGCGAACGAGGA